rnacentral:piRNA from 1 species
UCCAUUGCAUCUUUGGCUUGACUCUUACAGC